ACGGACACCCGACCAGGCCCAGAUCCCCAUGAUUCGCUUUAAAAGGAAACGUAGGUUUCGCGGAAAGAGAUGGAUCAGGCAAUGAGUAGCUAAUCUGCCCUUGCCAUCCGUUCUGCUAGCUAACGUUCAAUCGCUGGAAAAUAAAUGGGACGAACUGAAAGCACGUAUAUCCUACCAACGGGACAGUAAAAACGUCAUUGGCAGCAGAGAACUGGAAGGAAAGGCAGUUAAGAGGAAUUGGCUUUGGGGAUGACCAGUGAAAUAUACCUGCUGGAGCGCAUGCUACAGAUGGCAUUCUUACAAGAUGGCAUUCCGCAACUUGAAACAGAACACCAUUGAAUGGGCACCAGAUUAGACAACAAUCACCCCAUUAAAAGGUGGACAUCAUUUUACCAAUCACACCAUUCAUAUGGUGAAUGUGGCACGCCACCUAUGUAAUCAGGUGGAAUGGGAGAUUUGUUUUUUUUCCAACUCAAUAAGUAGGUAUUACCCACAAACCGGCAUAGAGUAGGACAUCAUACUUCCUCAUCUGAUUGGUCGGGUAGGCGAGCCUUCUGGGCUGGCAUACACAUCAUUAUACUCCCUCAUCUGAUUGGUCAAGUAGGCGUGCCUUCUGACUUUGUGGCAACGACCAUUUCGUGGCUGCUGCCAUAUUGCUAGUUCCAGUUUUUCUAGGACUACUCCACUCCGGUAUAGUUUUUGGGCACUCUGCCAAUGUUGCCAGGGACGUGGAUCUGCAUGGCUGCAACUAGUUUCGGGAGGGGAAAUCUGCUUUUGCACCACCACUAUUGGGGAACGGGAAAUCUGCAGGUACCACAACCAUGAAAGGUAAUUCUGUGUAUGCAUGUAACUUAUUGAGGACUAAAUCAUACGUGCUCUAUUUAGCGCUACAUGUGCACCUCAGGAGACCUAGCAGUUGUAUAUUUUCUAUUUAACACAACAUGCCACUUGUUACAAAAUGAAAAGUUGGGGAAAUAAGUUUUUGUAAAAGUUAUGCCGUUAUGAUUUGACAAUUAAUCAGUAAAGCUGCAUUUACACAUUCUAAAUGACACAGUAUGAUAAAAGCAGCGUUAUGUACAAGUAAUAUAAUAUUCCAACUCCAGGAUUCUACAAGUCACAACAUUAUGUAUUUACAGAGCCACUGACAUUGUGAGUUAUGACAUAUAUACAUUUUGCUGGGUCUAUCCUUUUUAACCCC
ensembl:lncRNA